rnacentral:misc_RNA from 1 species
UUUCCGUUGGUGAACCAGCGGAAGGAUCAUUACAGAGAUCAUGCCCUCACGGGUAGACCUCCCACCCUGUGUUAUUUACGAUUGUUGCUUUGGCAGGUCGCCUUCGGGCACUCGGCUCUGGCUGAGGUGCGCCUGCCAGAGGACCCCCAACUCUGUGUUUAGUGUUGUCUGAGUCUUAUUUAAUACGUUAAAACUUUCAACAACGGAUCUCUUGGUUCUG